GUAGGUAUAGCUCAGUGGUAGAGCACUUGCUUAGUAUGCACGAGGUCCCAAGUUCAAGCCCCAAUACCUCCA
rnacentral:tRNA from 1 species